CGCUCUUUGGUGAAUGUUAGCGCAGAGGGCAAGCUGUUUGCCACCUGGACAGUCUGCGCCUUGGCCCUCUGCGGUGCCCAUGGCUCGUCUGCAUCUUCAGGAAGACGCUGCAUUUAAAUCUGAGAACUGCAAGGAUGAACCUGGCUGGACCAAGAAAGAGCCUGGGAGACGUCUGGUCCGGCAGCAUGGAAGUUCAGAGGGACCCUGCUUGGAGGUCUGAAAUAGCAGUGACAACACUGGUUGAGACAUACCCAGGGGCCUGACCCUCGGGGUGGCUGUGCUGGACUCUCUCCCAAACCUGAAAUGAGUGUAACGUGUUCUGUAGAGGGACAGAGCCGACAGACAGUCUGUCCAAGACCACACAGCCGUAGCACACAGAGCCCAGAUUUAAGCCUGGAAACGACGAGGGGAUUCAAGGCCUACAUUCUUCCCAUACCUGGCCACCCCCUGCAGAGUUCCCACAGAACACACAGGCCCCUCGCUUUCCAAAACAAACAGGAGCUUUCUGCAACCUCCCUUCGUUCAUGGGCAUGUCAUCUGUGAUCCCGUGGGACCAGUGUUUUCCGGUUCUCAGGUUCGCCAACUCUACUUAAGCACUUGGCUGUCCCUAAGCCUCAACUUUUCCCCAUCCCCUACCUUGUAAUAGAACCAUCAAGGCCUGCGUUGUGGUAGGGCUGCUGGCUAGGAACACCCCAGUGGCUGCGUGCAGGUGCACAUCAGAGGACAGGCUCAGCUCUGUUCACCUUCCUCGGCCUUGCACUUAAUCCCUGUUCUGAUUGGCCCAGGCAGGUAUUUUCCACCUCCAGGGUCAUGGAGUCUUCGCAUACUUGUGUGGACAGCCAAGCAACCAACCCAUGUGAACCCUAGAACAAAGAGGCCUCAGAGCCCCUUCCCUGACUCCACAGCAGCUCAAUGCUGCACUUGUGACCAGCCCAGGGCUGCCUGAGUCCUGAACAUUAUGCAUUGUCUGAGGCCAGCCCCCUGAGGCCAAGGGGCACAGACCAAGGUCCCCCUUAGAGCAGGAGAUAAGUGAGGGACAUGCCUGCUGCCUCUACGGCAGCGCCCGGGACACUUGUCUCAGCACCAGGCUUCUGGGGACUCAGGAAAGAGAGGUAAAGGCUUCAGGUGAAGAUACUCCUCGCAGCUCUCAGAAGCUCUGAUCAGUCCUGACUCACGGAGAGCCCCACAUUUUUCUGCAGAGUCCUGGACAGAGGCAACCCUGGAGCCUAGAGUGGAAUGCACCCCAGCUGAAGCCAAACACUCGCUUUUCACUGAACCAGAACAAGCCCGGAGUGUUUUCCAAAGCCGUUCACUCGGAACAUGAGUGCAUUUGUUUAUUCAUCCAAUCUUUCCUCACCGGCUGGCCUGCGUCCUCUGAGCUGGCACGGUUCAAGAUGGGUGGAUGAUGGGGAGGAGGAAGUGAGGGCCGCCACAGAGAAGGUGGCACACUGAAGAAACGGCCAGCCUGUGUCCCCAGUGCCAGCCGGUGUCUGGUACAUGAGCCGUCACUACAAUGUGCUCAAAGAAAGUGGGGAAGGGCAGGCAGCCUGGAAGUCAAGCAGGGGCCCUAACAGAAGUGUCAUUAGGUACCCCAGACGAGGCAGGGCCUCUUACGGUCCCAGAAGACUGAAGACAAGAUAAAUACAUAUUUUACCUGCCUGUUAUUUUAUCUCUACUGUCUGUUUUUAUCUAAAGGAAAUGACAUAAGUCAAGAGUAUUAAAAGGGGCAGUUGAGUUUUCAAAGGUCUGCAAGGUAUUCUGAGCAAAAUGCCUGGUUGAGCAUCCAUCCAUCCAUCCAUUUGUUUAUUCAUCUUUGCUUCAUUCAUUCACUGACCAGCCUUCACAGAACACCUACCUAAACCAGAAUCCCGGAGUCUCAUCCACUCCCUAUGCACUUUCAGCUUCCAUAGCAACAGAAAAGCAUCCCCCAGGACACCUGCCCUUAAGCUUGGGCCCUAGCAAAUGGCUUAAAGGAGAUGUCUGAUUAGCUUGAGCUGGGUACAGAGAGGGAGGGCCUCCAAGCAUGCAGCUACCAUUCCGUCAAUAGCUUUGGUCUUUACAGUUUAUAAAACACCGUCACUUCUGGGUGUGUCUUUAGACCUUCAUAACAAUUCCAGAAGUUCCCAAAAAGGUAAAACUAAUGGAAUAGAAAGGAAAACAGAGGCUUGGGGGUUAAGCAGCACCAGCAGCACCUCUGAGUUAGAAGCAAAAGCAAACCCAGAGCUUGAACCAAAGCUUCAAGGUGUGACCAGAUGCUGCGAACUGAUACAGAGAGACCUUGAGUAGGUAUCUAAAGUAGUUAGUCACGUGCACCAUCCUGAGAGUCUCAGGGAUAAACACCAAGCACGUGUGGCCUAUGAGGAAUGUGCUAGCGGCCCAAGAAUGUUCUAUGGUGAGUGCAUGGCGAGACUGGUUGUAUUUUCCAAAGAUAGCCCUGACAGCCUGUCCGAUCCCACAGGAUGCUCCUGUGGGAUUUUCCUGUUUGGGUGGGAGCUCCACCUCAGCCCCUGGCACCCUGGCAUCCUAUACCCAGAGUCUGGAAUGUUCUGGCGGAAGAUCCACCUCAACUCCUCUCCCCCAUCUCUUUCCCCAAACCCGCCCCUUCAAAGCCCACCAAACCCAGCUUCAACCCCACAGAGGCUCAAGACCUCUCCCACAGGGUAUUUAAGCUGCAUCCCAGGAAACAGAUAUGUGGUUUUCUAGUCUCUUAUCUCUGUCUCCUCUCUGGGG